CUUUAUUGGAGAGUUUGAUCCUGGCUCAGGACGAACGCUGGCGGCGUGCCUAAUACAUGCAAGUCGAGCGGACCAAUGAAGAGCUUGCUCUUCGGCGGUUAGCGGCGGACGGGUGAGUAACACGUAGGCAACCUGCCUGUACGACUGGGAUA
rnacentral:rRNA from 1 species